ACCUCAAGGACCACAAACACUCCACGUUCCACUUUGAUUCCUCACGUUGGUUUUAAUACGACAGCAAACGGGAUCAGAGGUCGUCACGCACUGCAGAGACACGCCCACCAGUGACUCCUCACACCUCACCACAGUUAGUUCUCACACUGACAGUUACAGUACAUGAGACUUUAAACAUGGACAUUAUCCAACACGGUCUCCUCAGCUUCUUAUUUCUGCUCUGGAACGAAGGACUGACUGAUGGAAGUGAUGUGACCCAGACUGACAUACUGUGGAAAAACGAGGGCGAAGACGCAACAAUGAACUGCAGCCACACUAAGAGUGUUGACUACAGCUACAUGUACUGGUACAGACAGGUGCCAGGAGAAACGAUGAAGCAGAUCGUCCUCACUAGAGCUGGCAUAGAAGAUCAUGACUUUGGAAGUUUCAGCAAAGAGAAAUUCUCAGCCACCAAACCUGAUGUUCAGAAUGGGACAUUCACGGUGAAGAAUCUGGUGCCAGGAGACAAAGGCUUGUAUUUCUGUGCCGUUAGUAAACACAGUGAUACAGACACAUGUGAAAGCUGAACAAAAACCCCAGUGCAGUCUUUGCACCACUGUUUCCAAAGCUAAUUAUCUCACGUACUGUAGGGGGACCUCGAGGACCACACAUUCUCACAAAUGAC